rnacentral:rRNA from 1 species
AGAGUUUGAUCCUGGCUCAGGACGAACGCUGGCGGCGUGCUUAACACAUGCAAGUCGAGCGGUAAGGCCCUUUUUGGGUACACGAGCGGCGAACGGGUGAGUAACACGUGGGUGACCUGCCCUCAGCUUCGGGAUAAGCCUGGGAAACCGGGUCUAAUACCGGAUAUGACCUCUGGUUGCAUGACUGGUGGUGGAAAGUCCAGUCUUUUGGGCUGGGCGGUUGGGGAUGGGCCCGCGGCCUAUCAGCUUGUUGGUGGGGUGAUGGCCUACCAAGGCGACGACGGGUAGCCGGCCUGAGAGGGCGACCGGCCACACUGGGACUGAGACACGGCCCAGACUCCUACGGGAGGCAGCAGUGGGGAAUAUUGCGCAAUGGGCGGAAGCCUGACGCAGCGACGCCGCGUGGGGGAUGACGGCCUUCGGGUUGUAAACCUCUUUCGGCCCCGACGAAGCCCUUGUGGUGACGGUAGGGGUGGAAGAAGCACCGGCCAACUACGUGCCAGCAGCCGCGGUAACACGUAGGGUGCGAGCGUUGUCCGGAAUUAUUGGGCGUAAAGAGCUCGUAGGCGGUGUGUCGCGUCGGCCGUGAAAACUUGCAGCUUAACUGUGGGCGUGCGGUCGAUACGGGCAUCACUGGAGUUCGGCAGGGGAGACUGGAAUUCCUGGUGUAGCGGUGAAAUGCGCAGAUAUCAGGAGGAACACCGGUGGCGAAGGCGGGUCUCUGGGCCGGUACUGACGCUGAGGAGCGAAAGCGUGGGAGCGAACAGGAUUAGAUACCCUGGUAGUCCACGCUGUAACGUUGGGCGCUAGGUGUGGGGCCAUUCCAC